rnacentral:ncRNA from 1 species
UAGAGUCCCCCCGUGCGGACGUGUAAAUAGCCGUGCCUUUGGCCGGACACGGUGGUUUGUGAAUC